UCCCUAUCCAAUCGCGUGGCCUCGCAUCGCCUCGCCUAGCCGCCGAAUCCGUAGAGGGUGCGGCCCUGGCGCUUGAGCGCGUAGACGACGUCCAUGGCGGUGACGGUCUUGCGGCGGGCGUGCUCCGUGUAGGUGACGGCGUCGCGGAUGACGUUCUCGAGGAAGAUCUUGAGCACGCCGCGGGUCUCCUCGUAGAUCAGCCCGGAGAUGCGCUUCACGCCGCCCCUCCUCG
rnacentral:lncRNA from 1 species